ensembl:lncRNA
GUUGCCCCCGCGGUUCUUCAGCAACAGUGACCUCUGUCGGCACCGCUGCCUGGCCCCGCCGCCACCCCGCUCCUCCUCACCAUGCUGGUGGAAGAGGAGGAAAUCACUCAGUGGGACAGAAACUGAGGAAAUCGCUCCAUGAGAGAGAAGGGAAAAGAGCAGAAGGAGGGAGCAAAAAUUUUGCCGCCUGCUCCAGCACGCUGUGCCAGUGCCCCAAGGGCCGCCGUGCUCCAGAGCCACCCAUGGGUGCCAGUGAGAUCAGGAGGAAUGUCCCAGCACCGCGGCCGAGGAGUGACUCAGAAGCUCUUCAGGUCGCUGUGGUUUUUCUUUCAUGGUUUAGCUGUGACUGAGCUCCUUGCUUCGUGCGCCGCGAGCAGGCAGGUGCUGGCACACCGGGCCCCCAUGGCAUUUCGGCCACCAUGUGGGGCAGUAAUGCACACCCUCAUUUUUUUUUUUACUAUUUCAUUUUUCCCCCCACGUUUUCUUCUCUUGGUUUUCCUCUUCCCCAAAUUCUCUUCUUCAGGUCCUGUUUUAUUUCUUCUCUCUGCACAGCACAGCGUUCUCCCACCUCCCGCUGCACCCCAGGUGCACUGCCAGCACUCCCUGGCUGCAAACUUUCCACCAGCUGCUGCUUUUUUCUUCCCAAAAAGUCGAAGAAAAAUAAAUAAAAAAAAAAAAUACACACACCCCCAAACCCCAACCAGCUUCUCUUAGCUGAAACCUCCACCUCUUCAUUAGGCUCCCAGCAAAGCACACCGCUGCGUAGCGGAGGUGCUCGGGGCUUUAUGCCUGAAGGGCUCCUGAAGCUCUGCCAGAAAAGCAGCUUUUUCCGUGCAGCCUGUGGUGAAAGCAAGGCUUUUUGCUUCACUUUUUGUUGUGACGUUUGGGGUGGGAGGCUCUUGGGGGCAGGCUGAGCAUUGCCCAGCCCUCAGCCCAUCCCCACGUGCUGCCCUGCUCUGCCUCCUCAUGCCCUCAGCAGCACCCUUUCAUCCCUAAAAGUGAAAUUUCACUUCUUCGUGAGACAUCCCUUGGAAGGGAUGGGAGGCUCGGCCCCAUAGCACUCCGCUGCUGCCCUCGCAUUCCAUCCUGCUGCUGUCCAUGGGAUGUGGGAGUGAAGCUAGUGGGGCGACCUCUUGCACCUCACACCUUCCCGGGAGGAUAUCAGGGCACAGAAGGUGCCACGCUUGGACUCAUCUGGCAGCGGCUCCCAGGUUCACCCUGGGGCUCUCCCUCUGUCCCUUGAGCAGCAGCCAAGCUGGCCAUGAAGCAGCACGGAACUUCCAGCGAGAGGCUCUGGCAGCCACAUCUUGAAGCCAUUAGCAGGGAGGGAGCGAUCUCCUCUCACUCCUUUUUCCCCUCUCGGGUGCUGCAGCAGCUGUGGAGCUGCUUGGGCAGCAAGUGCUCGUUCCUGAAGCCACCAAGAGCCAAACCCCACGGUGCACGCAGCUUGUUGGGCUGAUGGCUAACAGCACAUGGACCCAAAGUACUGGAAUGCUGGGUUCCUCCUGCCUGGAGAUAGCACAGGGUUGGGAUUUCUUCUCUUUUUUCUUUUUUCCUCUUUUGUACUUUUUUUUUAAAGAAAUCCGUUUAUCCCUACAAAGUCUGAUCUCAGCAGCUUCUCCUCCCCUCCACGCCUGGCCUUUUAAUAGGUCUUAUUUGGAAAGGCAGAAAAUACAACUUGCUCUUUAAAUAAGGCAGGAGAGGAAGAAGGGGAGCGGUGCUGCCAAAAGCAAUAGCAUGGGGCUGCGUUCACCCUGCAAUGGGAGCCCGGCUCCAGCCCUCCCCAGCCCCCCAGCCGCUCCUGGGGCCGUCUCUGCCACCCUGGGGACACGCAGGGCCUCUGUCCCCAUCUCCCACUCAGGGUUUUGCUGCAAAUCCUCGGAAGCAAGACCUUUCCCAGGGCUUCCUAGGGCCUCUGCCUUCGCUCCACGUGGGAGUUUUCCCACUGGAUUUGAAAAGCCAAAAGCCUUUGCUGGGAUCCCAUCCCCAUUUCUGCCUCUCGCUCCCAGUUGGGCAGUCCCAGCCCACAGUUUCCCAUAGCAAAGGCAUUUUCUGAUGGGAAAAACCCCACGUGCUUCCCAAUGGGUGUAGCCGGCCAGCGGCCGUGGGAAAGCUGCCCCGAUCCUCUCCUCCCUAUAAACCCAGGCAGGAGCUUGGGAAGGAUAAGACAGAUCCAUAUGGCACGGGACAGGGACGCUGCUGCCCUGGUGCAGCAAGCAGGGCUCCUCUGCAUCCUCCCACCCCUCUUAUUUCCCCGCACCUCCCCGACUGAAGCCAACCUCCAGCGCUGCUAAUCCAUCCCAUGGCAGCAUCCCGCUGCUCGCACCUGUGGGGCACGCCGGCCAGCUGGUGUUAAUUGCUGAAAGUUGCUUUCUGAAGGCAGCCCUCCUUGCACAGCAUCCCGCAUCCUAUCCUGCUAAGGAAGGUGCGUUCCCUCUGCAGGAGCCGGCUGGAGCAGGAGCGCAGGAGAUCGGUGGGGAUGCCGGAGCGCAGCAGUGGGUUGGCACCGGCAGCCCCAUGGAGUUUGAGCCGGGCACGGCGGGCUUCUUCCCCCCCGAGGAAAUAUCUCAGAUACAGCCAGUUCCACCACAGCCAUACAGAUCCAGGACCUGUUGGGGAAGCGCCGGGAAGGUUGGGAAAUCCUGCCUAGUGGCCAGGGCUCCAGGAUGCCCAUCCAUGGUGAAGUCAGAGCGCCCAGGGCUCAAACAUCCUAGAACACAUCAGAAAUGUAAGAAAACCCACUGGAAACAGUGACCUUUGUUGCAAUAUGAAAAUCAGAUGCAAAGCUUGGUGGGUAUUUUUAGCUGUUUUAGGCUGAACAGGUGUUUGAAAGGUCAGAUGCGAGUCAUUGGAAAAAAAUAUAGUGAGGGUAUGGCAGGAUGGCUCUGCCACUCCCCUGGUGCUGGAUGGCCCUAAACCCUUUCGUCCUCAUUUCUGGGGGAUGGAGCUUGGGACAGGCUUUGUCCAUUGUUCUAUGGCACCCCAAGGAUGCUCAGGGCUGUGCCUCCUACCUGCAUAGACUGUCU